AGAGUUUGAUCAUGGCUCAGAACGAACGUUGGCGGCGUGGCUAAAACAUGCAAGUCGAACGCGAAAGUGGGGCAACCCGCGAGUAGAGUGGCGAAAGGGCGAGGAAUAUUUGGGUAACGUACCUUGGGCACCGGGAUAGCUGCGGGAAACUGCAGGUAAUACCGGAUGAUGCCGAGAAAUCGCAGGGUUUUUCGGCCAAAGGGUGGGGAUCUCUUCGGAGACCUAUCGGCCUGGGAGCGGCCCAAAUCCUAUCAGCUAGUUGGCGAGGUAACGGCUCACCAAGGCGACGACGGGUACCGGAACUGAGAGGUUGAUCCGGCGCAUUGGGACUGAGACACUGCCCAGACUCCUACGGGGGGCUGCAGUAACGAAUAUUGGACAAUGGGCGAAAGCCUGAUCCAGCGACGCCGCGUGUAGGAAGAAGUCCCUCGGGAUGUAAACUACUGUCAGGGACCACCAAGCGAGAGAGGCUAAUAUCCUUUCGAGUUGAGGAAUCCCAGAGGAAGUCACGGCUAACUUCGUGCCAGCAGCCGCGGUAAUACGAAGGUGGCGAACGUUGUUCGGAAUCACUGGGCUUAAAGAGCAUGUAGGCGGACUGUCAAGCGCUUUGUGAAAGCCCUCGGCUCAACCGAGGAACUGCUUGGCGAACUGGCAGUCUUGAGGCAGGUAGGGGCAACUGGAACUCAUGGUGGAGCGGUGGAAUGCGUAGAUAUCAUGAGGAACGCCGGAGGCGAAGGCAGGUCCCUGGGCCAAUACUGACGCUCAUGCACGAAAGCGUGGGGAGCAAACAGGAUUAGAUACCCUGGUAGUCCACGCCCUAAACGAUGUCAACUGGUUGUUGGGGGAUUUAUUCUCUUAGUAACGAAGCUAACGCGUGAAGUGACCGCCUGGGGAGUACGGUCGCAAGAUUAAAACUCAAAGGAGUG
rnacentral:rRNA from 1 species